CCUCGGAGAAGUCAAGUGUAAACGGCGGGCAAGAGAAGUAAUGUACUGGCCGAGAUUCAAUCAAGAUAUCAGCCAGACAACAGCGUCGUGUGAGCUAUGUCGCAUCUACAGGCCAAAACAACAAGCUGAGCCGCUGAUGACUCAUCCGGUGCCCCACAGACCGUACUACAAGAAGUUGGAGCGCUGCAGUCAACAUCAAGCAAAGCAGUCAUCAGCUACCUCAAGACUGUCUUUGCCAGGCAUGGAGUGCCAUGUGAACUGUUUUCAGACAAUGGGCCCCAGUUUUCCAGCUGUGAGUUUGCU
ensembl:lncRNA